UACGGGAGGCAGCAGUGGGGAAUAUUGGACAAUGGGCGAAAGCCUGAUCCAGCCAUGCCGCAUGAGUGAAGAAGGCCUUCGGGUUGUAAAGCCCUUUUAGUGAGAAAGAUAAUGACGGUACUCACAGAAGAAGUCCUGGCUAACUCCGUGCCAGCAGCCGCGGUAAUACGGAGAGGGCUAGCGUUAUUCGGAAUUAUUGGGCGUAAAGAGCGCGUAGGCUGAUUAGUAAGUUAAAAGUGAAAUCCCAAAGCUUAACUUUGGAAUUGCUUUUUAAAACUGCUAGUCUAGAGAUUGAAAGAGGAUAGAGGAAUUCCUAGUGUAGAGGUGAAAUUCGUAAAUAUUAGGAGGAACACCAGUGGCGAAGGCGUCUAUCUGGUUCAAAUCUGACGCUGAGGCGCGAAGGGCGUGGGGAGCAAACAGGGAUUUAGAUACC
rnacentral:rRNA from 1 species